rfam:Schistosoma curassoni strain Dakar, Senegal genome assembly, scaffold: SCTD_scaffold0000039
CUCCAGCUGACGAGUCCCAAAUAGGACGAAACGCGCGUCCUGAAU